rnacentral:rRNA from 1 species
GAUGAACGCUAGCGGCAGGCCUAACACAUGCAAGUCGAGGGCAGCAUAAAACAAGCUUGCUUGUUUGGUGGCGACCGGCGCACGGGUGCGUAACGCGUAUGCAACCUACCCUGUACUGGGGGAUAGCCCGGAGAAAUCUGGAUUAAUACCCCAUGGUAUCUACGAAUCGAUUGGUUUGUAGCUUAAAGAUUUAUCGGUAAAAGAUGGGCAUGCGUCUGAUUAGCUAGUUGGCGGGGUAACGGCCCACCAAGGCGACGAUCAGUAGGGGUUCUGAGACGGAGAUCAGCCACACUGGGACUGAGACACGGCCCAGACUCCUACGGGAGGCAGCAGUGGGGAAUUUUGGACAAU